GCGAUGGAAGCGCACCGAUCUGGGGGCGGGGCUAGAGAGCGGACGCGCACUCCCGAAACGACGUGCAGCCCCCUUCUGGGGAGGAGCCUUUUCAGUCGACCAGGCUGAGUAGCGAUUGUCGCCCAAGCGCGCGGUUUCUUACUCUCUCGCUUUGAACUGGGAAAAUUAGCUUUGGGGAGUGAAGAGGGUAGUCAGUGGCCUGACGAUCACGUCUGGUGAGUUAGGCCGGCCUGAAGCCAGCCCCACACAUGCUAGGCUAGACCGGCCGAACCGUGAGAGAAGUGGGGCUAGCGUCCCGGGAGGGGUGAUCCGAAGGGCCGUGGCCCAAGGGCCCAAGUCCUGGAUCCGAAAUGUUCUUGAGCAAAGAACGGACUCACCUCUCCAGUGGAUCACCCCUUCGGAGGUGGUGCCUGUCGCUGUGCUGGCUGUCCAAAGGUACCUGUUAGAGGAUGAGCCACGCGACGGGAUACCGAAACCGCCUCUUUACUGCUUUGAAGUGACGAUCUCCGACGGGGUGUACCAGGAGAAGUGCUACCUGGUCCCCAGCCUCAAUGAUCUCGUAUACAAAAAUAUUCUGAAAGUUGGCAUAGAAACGAGAAUUUCCAGAGUGUCGUGUCUUUACAACGAGAGAACAAGCCAGGGGAUCCUGUGCAUAGAUAGCGUCCACUGUGGGAAGACCUUGGACACUAUAUCUUUAGAAACUCCCUUUAGAAAUAGUGCGCACGGGGAGAUACAAAAGAGGCCUUGAAGAGGCGGGAGGAGUCAUUACUUGGCCCUGUGGAAUAAGGAAGACCCGUAUGGAGAUAUCCGGCUAAGGAACAAGAAACCUGAGGAACACAGUUGUUAUGAGUUCCUGUACCUCAGCCAGAAACUUCUGCAGGAGCAAAAGGAAACAAACCAAGCAUGCCAGGGCCCUACCAAUGUCGAGAAAGCGCAAGCACUGGUACCCCAGGGAAAGCCAGGAAAGCCAGGAGAACUAUAAUACAACUUCUUGGGAUCCAGGACAUCUACUCUGACAGACCCUGAAGUUUCAGGGAUGGAAAGAACACAUUCGGCAAGUGCGCUGCUAGAAUGAUGAAUCCCAUGGACAACUUACGGUCAUCACAGGAGGGUCAGAGAUUUCAGGAGGCAUGAGAGGAGGCUGCUGAAACCUCAGCAGUAAAGGACUCUCCAGGAGUCCCUACCAGGAGCGACUGCUGUUUUGCAAUCUGGACAAAUUCUGGUGCCUUUUGCCCAUAGGGGGACCUUUGAAGGUAGGCCGGUUUUUACAGAGCAAUGUAAAUGGGCUUAUGUAACAUUUGCAAAUGACGACUUGCCCACUGGGCCCACAAAGGUCUAUAAGAUGUUGGGUUUGUUAUAACAUUGUGGGUGCCAAGAGGGUCAGUAGCUCGUCUUGGUAGUGUCAGCGAGGUAGCAGCCCUUGGUCUACCAAAUAAUC